rnacentral:rRNA from 1 species
GGGUGAGUAACGCGUGGGUAACCUACCCAUAAAUCAGGGACAACCCUUGGAAACGAGGGCUAAUACCGGAUAAUCUUAAGAGUUGGCAUCAACUUUUAAGGAAAGGUGGCCUCUGAAUAUGCUACCGAUUAUGGAUGGACCCGCGUCUGAUUAGCUAGUUGGUGGGGUAAAGGCCUACCAAGGCGACGAUCAGUAGCCGGCCUGAGAGGGUGAACGGCCACACUGGGACUGAGACACGGCCCAGACUCCUACGGGAGGCAGCAGUGGGGAAUCUUCCGCAAUGGACGAAAGUCUGACGGAGCAACGCCGCGUGUAUGAUGAAGGUCUUCGGAUUGUAAAGUACUGUCUUUGGGGAAGAAUGGCAGGUUUGAGAAUAUGAGCCUGCAUGACGG